rnacentral:lncRNA from 1 species
AAUCUAAACUAAAUAUUUUCAUAAUUUAUCAUUAUCAAGCAUUUCCUCAACCAUUCCAUCACCAUACCAUAAGAUCAUUUACACAAAAAAAAGUAUAUUGCUAUACAUGCCAUACUUAAAUUUACAAGCUAUUACCAAAAGUCUUCCGGAUAGUGUGACUGAGCCUUCGACCUAUCCCGACUCCUGAGCUGGCUUGUCCAAAACUACAAUGAGUAAGAAGGAGGGAGUAAGCAUAAAUGCUUAAUAAGUUCAUAUGCAAAUAAUAAGUAACAUAACAAACAGUUAUACCAAUCAACAUUAGCAUGUAUCACUAAAACAUAUAUCACAUUUUUAAUCAUUUUUCAUCAUCUUAUUACCUUAUCGUGGUUGUAUCAAUACUCAACCCGAGGGUUAAAUACAUACUUGUCCAAAAUAACCAUUUCACAUCACUCACCAAUACUUCUCUUUACAUCUCGAAUAUUCCUCCAUUGAGUAGAACUUUACCCGUUGAACACAUCGGAAUAUAAUUCGGAUACAUGGAUAACUUGCACAUAAGUGCCAUAUAUGCAAUCAAGCAAUCAUGUAACCCGCCCAUAAGCGAACUCGGACUCAACUCAACGAGCUCAGGCGUUCGCAUCCAUAAGUGAACUCGGACUCAACUCAACGAGUUCGGAUGCCUAGUUACAUCUCACGAACUCGGACUCAACUCAACGAGUUCGGACAUUCGCAUCCAUAAGUGAACUCGGACUCAACUCAACGAGUUCGGAUGCUCAAUCAUCCUAGUGACAUGUCACUUGUAUCCUAAUCUAUUCCUAAGGUUCAAACGGGAUUUUUCCUCGAACACUUAUCCUUGCCGUCUUCCGUAGAAUGCCGAAAUCAAUACUCGGUAACAAUUAUAUUUAACAAGUAGUUCACAUAAUUUACAUAUUAUUUGAAAUUAACCACAAAGCAUACAUUUCAUAAUAAAAUUCAGCAUAACAUAUAAUUAACAUAAAUAACUUAAAAAUAACCAUGAUGAUACAUUAUUUACACAUGAACUUACCUUGGUACCAAAAUACAAAGAUUUUGCAAUUUAGUCCACAAUCUUUUCUUUUCCUCGAUUGAAGUCGAUUCCACGUCUUUCUUGAUCUAAAAUAACACAUUUAGCUUAUUUAAUUCUCACAUUAUCAAAUUAAUCCUUAACUCAAAUUUUGGCAAAAUUACAAUUUUACCCCUAAACUUUUGCAUAUUUACAUUUUUGCCCCUAGGCUCGGGAUUAAAAUUUAUUCCUUAUUCUUAUGUUUUACAACAUGCUGAUCACUUUUCUCUUCUAUGGCAACAUCAAAUUCUCACUCUAACAUGUACUUGUGACUAUUAGGUAUUUUUACCGAUUAAGCCCUUUUACUCGUUUUUGCUUAAAAUCGAGUAGUACAAGUUGUCUAACAUAAUUUAAAACUUCAUAUUCUAUCAUAAAACAUCAAAAUACACAAAUUUCACCUAUGGGUAUUUUUCCAAAUAUAAACCCUAGGUUAAAUUAUUGCUAACAUAAGCUUUAUCGAGUUACCGGGAUCUCAAAAUCGUAAAAAUCAUUAAAAACGGGGCUUGGAAUCACUUACUAUGGAGCUUGGAAGCUUGAAACAAACCCUAGCUAUGGAGAACCCUUGAAAUUUCG